UUAAACUAAAUCCCUUUCCACACCACACUGACCAAACUGGAGGAAAAGAAUCUACACCAGGCUCACAGGAAUAUCUCCGCAGGAGCAAACAGAAAUCCAGAUAUGGGUACACAGCCUUCCAAGCAGUGGGUUCCUGUAGCCCAGACUGAGUGUUCGCAUUCAUGGCUCAGAGGUUGAUAAUGAGAACAGGAGGAGGGUCCGAGAGCUUCUGUCAGCCAUUCAGAACCAGCCUCAGAGAAGCAGAGUCACUGCCCAGAAGAAACAAAGUGGACCUGAAAAAAAGCUCCUGUUUGUCCAAAUGAUACCAUGUACGCCAAGCAAGCCCCCUGGGCUCCUGUGCUGGCCUGCAGCCAUCUUGCUGCCUGGCCACAUCCUCUGGUCCCUGGAGAGGCAAGCCAAAGGCUGAAGUUAGAUGAGCAGAGGGUUCCAACCUCACUCUGGGAAACUGAUCUGCCUUGUCAGGGCCUGGAUUCCCAACAUAAUGGAACAGCUGAGAGACGCUAGUUGAACACAAAAAUCACCCAAGAAGGCCAAUCUGUGAUACUGCAGAAGACCUAAUUGUAGUACAUGUGUUUGAAACACACCCUGGAACAGGGUGGUGAUUUAGUUGAUUGGCUGAAUAGCUUGUUGGUUAAGUGAGUGAAUGAAUGAGUGGGUAUAUCAAGUUUUUUAAAUUAAAUGAGAUUAAAUGUUGUUAAAAGGUCCUUUCUGAGUUUCUAAGAUGCUGAUCACCUUGGUGUGAUUAAAUUUGGGGUUAAAUCCUAAUGUGUUCAUUAGUAUCUGAUGAUGAUAAACUGACAUUUUUAACUAUAAUUAUUUUGUUGCCCUCUAUUCUCCUUUCUAGAAUUUAAGUUCUUUGAGGGCAGGAGUGGUCUGUCUUAUUCACUGCUUUAUUUUCAGGGUCUAAUGCAGAGAAAAUCCACAAAUAAAUCUUUACUGAAUGAAUGAAUGUGUUGACUCUUUAAUCUCCAAGUUGCUAGAUACUUCUGGAAAGGAUAUUUUUUUUCCUAAUUAAAAAAAAAAACAGUGGUUUUGCCAUCUGCUGCGUAAGCGCAAGGACCCGAGUUUGAUCCCCGGUACCAAAACAAAAAAAAACAACAAAAAAAAUCACUCUUUUUCAGACCAAAGAUGAGAACUUUCUGGUGUUCCCUUUUCCCAUUGCUAUGAAUGUAGACUGUAAAGUCAGAUCUUGUGAUAGUCAUCUCACAACCAAUACUAACAAAAAUGAGGAAACUGCACCUAAAGAAUGUAAACCAGAAACAGUCAGAGAUGCCCUGACUUCUUAGGCUUCACUGAAUCAUUGAAUCAUCCCUGAACCAAUUACCUCUGGCAUACCCAUGUGUGUGUUACUAUGUCCAGCUUAAACGUCUUCUUCAGUAAGAUAAUAUGAAUAUCUCUAAUAUUUUGAAUCACAGUCUCAUUCUAUUUUCUAUUUUCUGCAUUCAAAUACUUCAUAACUGAUACUUUUUUUACAUGUACUUUAGAUAGGACAGAGACUGUUUUAUUCAACUCGUUAUUUUCAAGCA
rnacentral:lncRNA from 1 species